AUUGAACGCUGGCGGCAGGCCUAACACAUGCAAGUCGAGCGGAUGAAGGGAGCUUGCUCCUGUAUUCAGCGGCGGACGGGUGAGUAAUGCCUAGGAAUCUGCCUGGUAGUUGGGGAUAACGUCCGGAAACGGGCGCUAAUACCGCAUACGUUCUGAUGGAGAAAGUGGGGGAUCUUCGGACCUCACGCUAUCAGAUGAGACUAGGUCGGAUUAGCUAGUUGGUGGGGUAAAGGCCUACCAAGGCGACGAUCCGUAACUGGUCUGAGAGGAUGAUCAGUCACACUGGAACUGAGACACGGUCCAGACUCCUACGGGAGGCAGCAGUGGGGAAUAUUGGACAAUGGGCGAAAGCCUGAUCCAGCAAUGCCGCGUGUGUGAAGAAGGUCUUCGGAUUGUAAAGCACUUUAAGUUGGGAGGAAGGGAAGUAAGUUAAUACCUUGAUGUUUUGACGUUACCAACAGAAAAAGCAACGGCUAACUUCGUG
rnacentral:rRNA from 1 species